UGAGCCACGUUCUCAAAGCCCCGGAACCGGCAUCCGGCUGCGCGCUGUCCUCACAACCUAGGGAAGUCUGCGGGACCCACCUGGCACGCCCGAGAAAACUGAGGCCCAAGGCUGAAAGUGACCUGCCCGAGGUUCCCCAGAGAUGUAUGCCUUUGAUUAACAGAUACCGAGAAAACAAAUUUCUUGCUAUGCUCUGAGAUUCAACACGUAAGCAGAAUUGAGAACACCAAAUUCUGUUUGAGGGGCAGAGGUCUAAGAAGGCUUCAUAGAGGAGGUGAUGAUGGAGCCAGGCCGUAUCAGCCAGCCUAGGAGCUCAGGAUCCCUCCACUCAAGCCAGCAUUCACUGCACCCUGACUAUGUGUCAGCCAGAGUCCUCAAGGAGUUCAGAGUCUGAGAGGGUAAACAGGUAAAUAAAUCAUUACAGUAGGAGUGUGAUAAAAACUCUGAUAGAGGGAGCCCGGAAAGAUAAUGGGCAAAGUUGCCACGUUGUACAAUGCUGGGAGUCCAUAUGAUUGGUCCUUAUUCCAGAGUUGUGCAAUGAGAUAGCCCUCACCAUAUGGGAACUCAGAGGAGGCAUCUGACCCAGGUUGGAAUGUCCGGGCAAGUGUCUUGAUUUUUUUUUUUUUAAAUAAGUUUACCUUUAUUUAUUUAUUUAUUUAUUUAUUUAUUUUUAAGAGAGAGUGGGGGGGGGAGGGAGAGAGAGAGAAAGAGAGAACUUUCAACAUUUAUUUUUUAGUUUUUGGCAGACACAACAUCUUUGUUUGUAUGUGGUGCUGAGGAUCGAACCCGGGCCGCACGCAUGCCAGGUGAGCGCGCUACCGCUUGAGCCACAUCCCCAGCCCUUGAUUUUUAUUUAAUUUAUUUAUUUUGGUGCCAGGAAUUGAACCAGCAACUCACACAUGCUAGAUAAGCAUUCUACCCCUGAGCUACAUCCUCAGCCUGAGGGCAAGUUCCUUGAGAAGAUCAGCCAUUAAUUGAGGCUCAAAUUUCAAGUUUGCCAGCCAUCAGUGGGUUGAAGGGCAAUCCAGAAAGAGCAAACUGCCUGUGUAAAGCCACUGGGGGUUGAGGGAACAUGUAAAGUGUUGGGAAAUAUCAGGAAAUAUAUUUUGGCUGACGCACUGGACAUAUGUGAGAGAAUGCCUAGAACUUGUUUGUUAAAUGAGUUAAUGAAUGCAAGGUCUAUAAUAACAAAAGUCAAGAAUCACCACCAUUUGUUACCCACUCACUCUACCUCCAGGUCAUGUUAAGGGGUUUGUGUGCAUUUUCUCAUUUGAACUUCACAACCACCCAAUGACAAGGAUAACCUUGUUAUCCUCCUCUCUGCAGUUAAGGAAACUGAAGCUGAGGGAAGUUAAUGAACUUGCUGAAGGUCGCAGCACUAAUGAACUAUGCAGAGCCAGAAUGAAAACCUAGAUCUCCUGAGCCCUUGACCACUGCUUCCCUCAACAUGAGUGUUCUUGACUUUGGGCAGUGGUGGUCUCAGUGCAGACAGGGGGUACCAGCAGCCACAUCAGGCCCCCCAUGAGCUUUGACAGUGGCAGUGCCCUGGGUGGGUAUUGGCAUUGACAAGGGCUAGCUCCACUGAAGUCUUGAGUGGGAGAGGGAAAUAAGGAGGAACCUCAUGAACUAGUUCUCUGUGCAUCUGGAAGAAGCCCUUGGGAUUCUAGGUGCUCUCCUGGAGGAAUCUGAGAUCCUACCAAGCCAAAAAAAGUACUAUUUGGUGAACUUAAUUUUAUCCUAGGCACGGUGUAACCUAGUUAUACCCUUAAAAAUAGUCAAAAGUCAAAUUCUCAGCUUGCUCACAUCUGAUUCCCUCCUACAUCACCUGUUUUCCAACCCCAUCAGGUCUUCCCAUCCUUCAACCAUCUUUUCCCAGCCUAGCAGCCCUCCUAAUUUCACACCAUUUUUUAAAUUUUUUUUUUUUUUUUUUUUUUUAGUUCUGGGGAUUGAACCAAAGGGCACUUUACCACUGAAAUACAUCUGGGUCCUUUUUAAAAAAGACUGAUGAGACCUGUCUCAAAAUUUUUUCAUGACCUCACUAAAAUUUUCUAGGACUUUACCAAGUUGCAGAGUCUGGUCUCAAACUUGUGAUCCUUCUGCCUUGACCUCCUUGGGAUUACAGGUAUAUGCUUCUGCACCUGGUUUCACUCCGUCUUUUCCCCUGUGGGGCUGGCAUGCCUCUUACUAACACUUUUCCCCACCCUCAUCCUGAGUUAAACCUGAAUGAUUUCUUUCUCUGCUCCUAUCCCAAGCCAUUACCAGUGACUGGAGGAAGCUGUGGGAUUAGAUGUGGUCUCAGGGCUCCUCUGUUCUGCAAUCCUUGCUGGUCCUUGCCAGCUGGCUGAGGUUUGUGUUUGUUUUAUUUUCAGCCUUAUCCUAGAACUUUUUCUGAUAAACUUAAACUUAAAUGAUAUCAAAUUCAGGGGGCCUCCUCUUUUAGUUUUCUUUUCUCUUCACCCCAUCCUUUCCCACUACUUUAAUGACAUUUAUACUAAUAACCCCAAAUCUAUAGUUUCAUCCAUAUCUGGAUACCUAAAUGUGUAUUUCAUUUUUUUAUUCAUAAGUAACAUUUUUUUAUUUUUAGGUAUUGUGUUUGUAAAAGGACAUAAACCCUGUCCUUGGGAGGUCAGUCUAGUGAGCAGAUAUAACAAGCAAUUAGAAUUAUAGUACAUUUUCAGAGAGAACUGAAGGGACCAGAGAAAAGUUAAUCCAGGGAAAGUAUAUCAGGCCCAGAUUUGGUUGUGGAUGUCAUUAUAGCUGAAAAUUACUAGUCUAGAUGAUGGAUCCAUGAUCAUCAGAGCUCCUUAUGCUUUCCAUCUUAUUACUUUACCAUUCUUUGCCAUCCUUAAUAUACUGUGUCUACCUCAUUGUCCAAAAGAAUUGUUCAAACUCUAAUCAUCACAUCUGCAUUCCAGAAAAGGGUGAAAAAUGGCACACUUUCUCUUUAAAAUCAGUUUUAAAAACAGCUUCUGGAAGUUGUACAAAACACUUCUGCCUACAAACUGUUGGCUAGCACUUAGUCACAUAGCCACACCUAACUACAAGGAAUUCUGGAAAAUAUGCUUUUUAUGCCAGGCCAAUCAUAGGUGCACCUAAAAAUCAGAACUCUGCUACUAAGACCAAGCCAGAUAAUGGAUAUUAGCCAAUAAUGAGCAUUUUUCAGCCUCAGAAACCAUCUUGAUAAGCUGACACUUAAUUUGAAUUUUGAGAGAUGACCCAAAUUAGCCAGGUAGAAAGGAGUGUUUGUAUAGCAGGCUGCAGAGGGCAUUGUUGGCAAUGCAUGUGGUCCAGGGUUUCUGCAGCACGUAGUGUGUCUCCAGGUGUAGCAGGAGGUAGACAGGAUCACACUAUUUAAAGUUUCAUUCUAAAUCAUGUUCCUUUAGAGAUCAGCAACCUGGGUGCAGCUUGGCCCUAGAAGUCCCUAAACUCUCCCCUCUUACAGGCCUUGUGUUCUGGGGGAUGUGGAUUUGCAGCUGGGCCAAAUCCCCUUGGCAAGGAGGCUCUGGAAGCUGUGCAGCUGGACUAGAGUGCUGAGAUAUCAUCUACGAGAAUGAGGAAGGGUUGCUGAGUAGGGGCUCCAGUGUAAAGAAUAUCCAUUCUCCAAGCAUAGAUUCCAAGCCUCCCAUGAAUUUUAUACCACAAAUUCUCUCAAUAAAGCAGUUUUCUGCUUAAAUGUAGGUAAGGUUGGUUUCUCUCUUUUAUAACCAAGAAAUUUACUGAUAUCAAACCCAUUCCAGACACCUCUGAACCAGAA